rnacentral:tRNA from 1 species
CUUAGCUCAGCGGUUAGAGCAGCGGACUCAUAAUCCGUGGGUCGCAGGUUCAAAUCCUGCAGGGGC